UGGAUCAAUGACUCAGUUUACUCUAUUUCAAGACUAUGAGGGGCAGAGAAGUACUGUCCUGCAAGGGAAUUUUUUUGUUGUUGGAAGUUCCCAAUUCCAGGGAGAUCAGGAGUUCAAUCCCUCUCCCUCUCUUACGUCUGCAAAGAGGGAGGGGAGUGUAGCCAUGCAUGACCUCUGCUCCAUUGGACCCAUCUGUGACAAUCUGAUUCAGUCACUUGGUCUUUGAUCCCAGGUGCCCUUGUGACUCCAAACAUUAGCCUAGUCCUAUAACUAUAAAGUUGCAAAAUCCCCAACAAAAUUGGACUGAGCUCAAGACCAGUGAUCUUUCUCCUGCCCUUAUUUAGAAAGGGAUCAAAUGCCAAGAAGCCUCAUUCAGAGUCAUUUUGAAACCAGUGCAGGCACUCAUGGCAGAGGUAAAAGGCUUCCUAGUAGGGGAAGAGACAAAGCAGUAUGGAGAGCAGAAGGGGUCUAAGCUGUGGGUCAUAAUUUUGGUUAUCAUUCUGGUGGUCCUCCCUGUGCUGGCCACAUUUCAGUGGUUUUUGCACAGAGCCACUUCUGAAGUCUUUCACCAAGCCUUCCCCUGUAAUGAGAGUCAACUACUGGAGGAGAAACUGAAACAAAGCCAGGAAAGCUUCCUGGAGAUGGAGACAAGAUGGUGGAGUUGCAGCAAUGACUCGAGAGACCUGAAUCAGACCCUGGAGGAGUUGACAUCCCAGAGAAACUCGCUGUACACUCAACUGCAGGAGCUGAAGGAAGAGAACCUGGAUUUGACUGAUAAACUUAAGAAGACUGAAACAGCCCUGCAGAGGGAAAGAGAAAAGAACUCAAGAGAGACAAAUUCAGCACUCCUUGGCCCUCAGACCUACUCUGGCCUCCUGAGUUUCUCUCUGGCCAUUGUCUUGCUUUCUGGGGCAGCUUAAGUGAGGUGUUUCCUGCCCUCUUGGAGUUGCCUAAGCCCAGGCUCUUGGUGUUAUUUCCUGAGGCUCAAGAAUUGGGACUGAAUAAGGGCAGAAAAUCUCAGUGGGCUUGGGAGAUCCAAGACUGGAUUAUUUGCUUAGCACUGGACUCCAAAAUCCCAGGGUGUGGAAUACCAGGAUAAGAAGAGAGAAGGAAGAAGGAGGAGACUAUCUGGAGAAGAAAAAGGGGGGAUGGGCUCUGAGGGAGGAUGGGGGAAGCAGCCCUUAGAUGGAGCAGGCACUAGGGUAUAAGAAAUAAAGAAAUCUCUGGGUCAUAAUUCCGAGAUGAA
rnacentral:lncRNA from 1 species